UACGUAGGGUGCAAGCGUUGUCCGGAAUCAUUGGGCGUAAAGAGCGUGUAGGCGGCUUGGUAAGUCCGCUGUGAAAGUCCAGGGCUCAACCCUGGAAUGCCAGUGGAUACUGUCAAGCUAGAGUCCGGAAGAGGCGAGUGGAAUUCCUGGUGUAGCGGUGAAAUGCGCAGAUAUCAGGAGGAACACCAAUGGCGAAGGCAGCUCGCUGGGACGGUACUGACGCUGAGACGCGAAAGCGUGGGGAGCAAACAGG
rnacentral:rRNA from 1 species